rnacentral:lncRNA from 1 species
GUCUAGGGCAUGUAUUUGCGGCAUGGGUGGGGGAAACAAGGCUCGGGGCGUUGCUGGGAUCUUUAUAGCGCGCAAGUAACCAAUUUUGCAAGGAAAUCUCGGAAGAAACGGAGUUGGAUUCGGCGUUCACGGCUUCGGCUGAGUCCAGCUCGCACACGGCGAGAGGAAGACGACGGGCGCUGCCAGGUGGGGUCAUGGUGUAAGCCGAACAAGAGAGAAAACGGAGGGAGAGGGGCGGCGCUGACACGCGGGCCCCAACCGUCAGUGGCCAAGGAAGAGAAGAGAGGGGGGUGCGCUGUGGGCCUGUCCACUGGCUCUGCGCGCUAGGCCGGGAAAGGAGUGGGAGUCGCAGGGCCGCGGGGGAGAAGAAGCAGGCCAGAGGAAAAAGUGAAGCUGGGCCUCGGCCAGACCCAGGGAGCUGUCUCCCCUUUUUUUUUAUUUUCUUUUGUUUGUAUUCUUUUCUUUUAUUUCCAAUACCUAUUUCAAGACAAUUUGAAAACCGUUUUCAAAUCAGUUUGAAAUGAUUUUGAACUUGGAUAAAAUUCGCACAAU